AGUGGACGCUGGCGGUAGGCCUAACACAUGCAAGUCGAACGGCAGCACAGAGGAGCUUGCUCCUUGGGUGGCGAGUGGCGGACGGGUGAGGAAUACAUCGGAAUCUACUCUGUCGUGGGGGAUAACGUAGGGAAACUUACGCUAAUACCGCAUACGACCUACGGGUGAAAGCAGGGGACCUUCGGGCCUUGCGCGAUUGAAUGAGCCGAUGUCGGAUUAGCUAGUUGGCGGGGUAAAGGCCCACCAAGGCGACGAUCCGUAGCUGGUCUGAGAGGAUGAGCGGGCACACUGGAACUGAGACACGGGCCAGACUCCUACGGGAGGAAGCAGUGGGGAAUAUUGGAAAAUGGGCGCAAGCCUGAUCCAGCCAUACCGCGUGGGUGAAGAAGGCCUUCGGGUUGUAAAGCCCUUUUGUUGGGAAAGAAAUCCAGCUGGCUAAUACCCGGUUGGGAUGACGGUACCCAAAGAAUAAGCGCCGGCUAACUUCGUGCCAGCAGCCGCCGUAA
rnacentral:rRNA from 1 species